GGGGAUGUGGUGUACGGUGCGCAUCUGCCUUUCUUGCAGUCCUUGAAAUGAUACAUAUGAGCAGAAGGUAGGAGGGGUUCGACUCCCCGCGUCCCCA